UCCCAUUUCCAUGUGUGCGGAGGGCAUCAUUUGGUGUGUGAGAAAUACUGAGACUUAACUUGUAAAUAACAUCUCUAGCAGGCAUCCAACUGAGAGUCCUGAGCCGAUCCUUUCAGAGAUAGUGACCACACAACAAACAGGGCAAGCCAAGAGGUCACAAGUUGCAGCCAACAGUGAGAGACCAGUUCGGAGGGCGUGAGCCAGUGUGGAGUCCCAACAACCAGAUGGAGAGAUAGCACAAGCUAAGAAAAGAAGCCUGG